GUCUGGAAUAACAGAAUGCUGAGGGGUAGACAGCAGGGGGGAGUUGCCCCCAGGUUCCUGACCAGUCCUCCUACGGCUUAUAGCACGUCGACAUCCAGAACUUCUCCUCCAGCUGGAGUGAUGGGAUGGCCUUCUGUGCCCUGGUGCACAACUUCUUCCCUGAGGCCUUCGACUAUGGGCAGCUUAGCCCUCAGAACCGACGCCAGAACUUCGAGGUGGCCUUCUCAUCUGCGGAGAUGCUGGUGGACUGUGUGCCCCUGGUGGAGGUGGACGACAUGAUGAUCAUGGGCAAGAAGCCUGACCCCAAGUGUGUCUUCACCUAUGUGCAGUCGCUCUACAACCACCUGCGACGCCACGAACUGCGCCUGCGCGGCAAGAAUGUCUAGCCUGCCCGCCCGCAUGGCCAGCCAGUGGCAAGCUGCCGCCCCCACUCUCCGGGCACCGUCUCCUGCCUGUGCGUCCGCCCACCGCUGCCCUGUCUGUUGCGACACCCUCCCCCCCACAUACACACGCAGCGUUUUGAUAAAUUAUUGGUUUUCAACG
rnacentral:lncRNA from 1 species